UGGAGGCAGCCCCUCUUUGUUGCACUGUCAUACUCUUUGCAGAUCAUGGAUGAAGGAAUUAUACCAGUCACUCAACUGAUGUACCAGUGGAUGCUCUUGUAUCCCCGUCGGGUGUAAUUCCCAUUAGCCAGGCUGCCUUUGACAGAAUGAAACUUUAACA